GGCCGCCUGGCGAAAUGGCAUCGCGUCUGACUACGAUAUUCACGUCGAGAUCAGGAGAUUGCAGGUUCGACCCCUGCGGUGGUCA